UCAAGCUGAAAAGAGCGCAAGGGGAAUGCCUUGGCAUCAGGAGCCGACGAAGGACGUGACAAGCUGCGAUAAGCCACGGGGAGGAGCAAAUAUCCGUUAUAUCCGUGGAUCUCCGAAUGGGGGAACCCGCUCAAGCAAUACUUGAGCAUCGUGCGUUGAAUCAAAUAGGCGUACGAAGGGAACGGCCUGAACUGAAACAUCUAAGUAGGGCCAGGAAAAGACAUCAACCGAGAUUCCGCUAGUAGUGGCGAGCGAACGCGGAGGAGGCCAAACCGGAGGAUUUUAUUCUCCGGGGUUGCGGACAGACAUCAAGACCAGAGGAAAUUAAGAGAACGGCGUGGGAAAGCCGGCCACAGAAGGUGAGAGCCCUGUAUCUGAAAAUGAAGACUGGCAGUCUGGAUCCAGAGUACCGCGGGACACGUGAAACCCCGUGGGAAACCGGGUGGACCACCAUCCAAGCCUAAAUACUACCUGAUGACCGAUAGAGGAGCAGUACCGUGAGGGAAAGGUGAAAAGGACCCCGGGAGGGGAGUGAAAGAGAACCUGAAACCUUGUGCUUACAAGCAGUCAAAGCACGUUAAAGUGUGAUGACGUACUUUUUGUAGAACGGUCCGGCGAGUUAUAGUAACGAGCAAGCUUAAGGUAUUGAGUACCGGAGGCGAAGCGAGAGCGAGUCUGAAUAGGGCGUAAAGUUCGUUGCCAUAGACCCGAAACCGGGUGACCUAUCCAUGAGCAGGCUGAAGUGAGAGUAAAAUCUCAUGGAGGGCCGAACCGACCCCCGUUGCAAUGGUGGCGGAUGACUUGUGGAUAGCGGAGAAAUUCCAAUCGAACUCGGAGAUAGCUGGUUCUCCCCGAAAUAGCUUUAGGGCUAGCGUUAUGUUAGAUUACCGGAGGUAAAGCACUGAAUGGUGGCGGGGCCGAUAAGGUUACCAAGACCUAUCAAACUCUGAAUGCCGGAUAAUUGAUGCAUAGCAGUCAGACAGCGUGAGAUAAGUUUCGUUGUCAAAAGGGAAACAGCCCAGACCCACAGCUAAGGUCCCAAAUUCAUGCUAAGUGGAAAACGAUGUGGAAUUGCGAAAACAACCAGGAUGUUGGCUUAGAAGCAGCCACUCAUUAAAAGAGUGCGUAAUAGCUCACUGGUCGAGUGACUCUGCGCGGAAAAUAUAACGGGGCUAAGCAUGAAACCGAAGCUUGGGCUUGUCGUAAGACAGGGGUAGGGGAGCGUCGAGUAUGGGGUGAAGUCAGAGCGGAAGCACUGGUGGACUGUACUGGAGUGAGAAUGCCGGAAUGAGUAGCGAGAAUUAUGUGGGAAUCAUAAUGGCCGAAAAUCUAAGGUUUCUUGGGGAAGGUUCGUCCGCCCAAGGUAAGUCGGGAGCUAAGCUCAGGCCGAGAGGCGUAGGCGAUGCACAUACGGUAGAAAUUCCGUAACCACCGAAACUUAAACAGAGGGACACUUCGAAAUAGCGGAACCCGGGCGUUGGUUGACCCGGGCGUAAGGGAGCGAAAUUAGAGUAGCGAAGUCCGCGAUGUUCGGAGGCGAGAAAAGCUCUGAGGUAUGCUAAGGUGCCCGUACCGCAAACCGACACAGGUAGAUGAGGAGAGAAUCCUAAGGCCAACGGGAGAAGGGUUGUUAAGGAACUCGGCAAAUUGACCCCGUAACUUCGGAAGAAGGGGAGCCCCCUACGGGGGGUCGCAGAGAAAUGACCCAAGCAACUGUUUACCAAAAACACAGGUCUAUGCUAAAUCGAAAGAUGACGUAUAUGGGCUGACGCCUGCCCGGUGCCGGAAGGUUAAGAGGAGAUGUCAGGCAACGAAGCAUUGAAUUUAAGCCCCGGUAAACGGCGGCCGUAACUAUAACGGUCCUAAGGUAGCGAAAUUCCUUGUCAGGUAAGUUCUGACCCGCACGAAUGGCGUAAUGAUUUGGGCACUGUCUCAACAGCCCGCCCGGCGAAAUUGUAGUACUGGUGAAGAUGCCAGUUACCCGCAACUAGACGGAAAGACCCCAUGGAGCUUUACUG
rnacentral:rRNA from 1 species